AGGUUAGUUUUACCCUACUGAUGAACUAGAUGCUGCGACAGUAAUCGAAGUCAGUACGAGAGGAACACUUCGUUCAGAUACUUGGUUAAUGUGGCUAGCUGAAAAGCUAAUACCACGAAGCUAUCAUCUGUUGGAUUACGACUGAACGCCUCUAAGUCGGAAUCCAUGCUGGCUAAGCAGUGUUGCCCACCGCUCUCAUUGCGACAUGCCAAAAAAUA
rnacentral:rRNA from 1 species